GGAGGGGUGGCCGAGUGGCCGAAGGCGGCGGUUUGCUAAACCGUUAUACCCCUUAAAAGGUAUCGAGGGUUCGAAUCCCUUCCCCUCCUCCA
rnacentral:tRNA from 1 species